AUUGAACGCUGGCGGCAUGCUUUACACAUGCAAGUCGGACGAGUGGCGAACGGGUGAGUAAUAUAUUGGAACGUACCGAGUAAUGGGGGAUAACCAAUCGAAAGAUUGGCUAAUACCGCAUACUAUUCGAGCGGCCAAUAUCUGAUUAGCUAGUGGGUGGGGUAAAGGCCUACCAAGGCGACGAUCAGUAGCGGGUCUGAGAGGAUGAUCGCCCACACUGGAAUGGAGACACGGCCCAGACUCCUACGGGGGGCGGCAGUGGGGAAUUUUGGACAAUGGGCGCAAGCCGGAUCCAGCCAGGCCGCGUGUCUGAAGAAGGCCUUCGGGUGGUAAAGGACUUUUGUUAGGGAAGCGGUACCUGAAGAAUAAGCACCGGCUAACUACGUGCCAGCAGCCGCGGUAAUAC
rnacentral:rRNA from 1 species